CAUAUAUUGGCUUGUGUUGGAAGAGACCUCAAAGAUCAUCCAGUUCCCACUUCUGCUGCAGGCUUGCUGGCCACUAAAUCAGGCACCAGAUCAGGCUGCCCAGGGCCCCAUCCAAACUCACCCUGAACACCUCCAGGGAUUGAGCAUCCAUAACCUUUCUGUACAGCCUGUGAUAGUAGCUUUCUACACAGAUGUUGUUCCAUCAAGAUUAAAUCUGACUUUCUUGUAUUACAGUAAUUAAAUAAUGCAGCCAUACCUGAUAAAGAAGCACAGAAAAGAUCAAGAUACAUCAGGUGAUGGAGCAGUAUCAGUGUGCAGAGGCAUGCAGCCAGCAUCACCUCAUGGCAAGCCUGGGGCCUUGCGGAGUACGUGAUAUUAAUGCUUGUGGGGGAAGAGAAGCACUUUGGAGGACAGAAAAACAAAAAAAAAUGAACAUGCGUUGCCCCAGAUAAAAAUUCCUUCCGUCUUAGACCUGCAUUUCAAAAAAGAUGAUUAUCACUCUUGAGAGAAUACAUCAGUGAAAAAAGAGAAGGAAUGACUUAAGAGACGUCUCUCCUGCAUCUGUAGAUUUGGAUUUUAUGAUGUUUUUUAAUAAUCCUGCCGAAAUGUGUGAAGGACAGACAAAAGAGUGGAAAGGGUAGGAGGAGAGGUAUGAAUGAACCAAAGGAAACUUAAGAAACCAGCUGGCAGGUAACUCCCCAGUGGUUUCAGAAUAAGUGAUCUCAAAGCAGGAUGAUGCUUCACCAAAUAGAGAAGCCAUUUGUUCUGUUGUUGUUCUGUUCUACCGUGUCUGUCACUACUGUAUCUGGCUUUCUGUCAAGGUUCAGUUUAAUAGGUUAACUGCUGCAAGAGGAA
rnacentral:lncRNA from 1 species